UACGUAGGGACCAAGCGUUGUCCGGAAUUAUUGGGCGUAAAGGGCUCGUAGGCGGUUUGUCGCGUCGGGAGUGAAAACCAUGGGCUUAACUCAUGGCUUGCUUUCGAUACGGGCAGACUAGAGGUAUGCAGGGGAGAACGGAAUUCCUGGUGUAGCGGUGAAAUGCGUAGAUAUCUGGAGGAACACCGGUGGCGAAGGCGGCGUCCUGGACCAACACUGACACUGAGGAGCGAAAGCCAGGGGAGCAAACGGG
rnacentral:rRNA from 1 species